UGAAUACGAGAUGCUACGGCGUCGAAGCAGUGUAUGUCAGACUUCCAAGAAAAGCUCGCAAUGUCAUAAAUAAAGAAUGCCUGUACCAUAACCGACACAGGUGGGUAGGUAGAGUAUACUAAGGGGCGCGAGAUAACUCUCUCUAAGGAACUCGGCAAAAUAACUCCGUAACUUCGGGAGAAGGAGUGCCUUCUUUAAGAAGGUUGCAAUAACAAGAUCCAAGCAACUGUUUAUCAAAAACACAGGUCUCCGCUAAGUCGUAAGACGAUGUAUGGGGGCUGACGCCUGCCCAGUGCCAGAAGGUUAAAGAAGUUGGUUAGCUUUUGCGAAGCUGAUGACUGAAGCCCUGGUGAACGGCGGCCGUAACAAUAACGGUCCUAAGGUAGCGAAAUUCCUUGUCGGGUAAGUUCCGACCCGCACGAAAGGCGUAAUGAUUUGGAUACUGUCUCGGAGAGGGACUCGGUGAAAUAGACUUGUCUGUGAAGAUGCGGACUACCUGCACCAGGACAGAAAGACCCUAUGAAGCUUUACUGUAACUUGAAAUUGAAAUUGGACUUUAUUUGCGCAGUAUAGGUGGAAGGCGUUGAAAGUAAUCUUGCGGGAUUAGUGGAGCCAUCAGUGAGAUACCACUCCUAUAAUGUUAGAUUUCUAACUUUGGAUCAUGAUCUGGUCAAAGAACAGUUUCAGGCGGGCAGUUUGACUGGGGCGGUCGCCUCCCAAAUGGUAACGGAGGCGUACCAAGGUUUCCUCUGUACGGGUAGAAAUCGUAUCUAGAGUGUAAAGGCAUAAGGAAGCUUGACUGUGAGACCUGCAAGUCGAGCAGGGACGAAAGUCGGUCUUAGUGAUCUGACGGUGCUGAGUGGAAAGGCCGUCACUCAACGGAUAAAAGUUACUCUAGGGAACAGGCUGAUCUCCCCCAAGAGUUCACAUCGACGGGGAGGUUUGGCACCUCGAUGUCGGCUCAUCGCAUCCUGGGGCGGUAGUACGUCCCAAGGGUUGGGCUGUUCGCCCAUGAAAGCGGUACGCGAGCUGGGUUCAGAACGUCGUGAGACAGUUCGGUCCAUAUCCGGUGUAGGCGUUAGAAUAUUGAGAGGAGCCUUCUUUAGUACGAGAGGACCGAGAAGGACAUACCUCUGGUGUACCAGUUAUCGUGCCAACGGUAAACGCUGGGUAGCUAUGUAUGGAGAGGAUAACCGCUGAAAGCAUCUAAGUGGGAAGCCCACCUCAAGAU
rnacentral:rRNA from 1 species